rnacentral:rRNA from 1 species
AGCGAAUGCUGGCGGUAGGCCUAACACAUGCAAGUCGAACGGCAGCACAGUAAGAGCUUGCUCUUACGGGUGGCGAGUGGCGGACGGGUGAGGAAUACAUCGGAAUCUACUUUUUCGUGGGGGAUAACGUAGGGAAACUUACGCUAAUACCGCAUACGACCUACGGGUGAAAGCAGGGGAUCUUCGGACCUUGCGCGAUUGAAUGAGCCGAUGUCGGAUUAGCUAGUUGGCGGGGUAAAGGCCCACCAAGGCGACGAUCCGUAGCUGGUCUGAGAGGAUGAUCAGCCACACUGGAACUGAGACACGGUCCAGACUCCUACGGGAGGCAGCAGUGGGGAAUAUUGGACAAUGGGCGCAAGCCUGAUCCAGCCAUACCGCGUGGGUGAAGAAGGCCUUCGGGUUGUAAAGCCCUUUUGUUGGGAAAGAAAAGCAGCAGGUUAAUACCCCGCUGUUCUGACGGUACCCAAAGAAUAAGCACCGGCUAACUUCGUG